GACGUCGAAUAUCGACGUCAUAAACACAAAAGUUGGUCGUGUUUAUGUCUUCGAAUAUCGACAUCAUAAACACCAAAGUUGAUCAUGUUUAUGACGUCGAAUAUCGACGUUAUAAACACCAAAGUUGAUCGUGUUUAUGACGUCGAAUAUCGAUGUCAUGAACAUCAAAGUUGAUCGUGUUUAUGACGUCGAAUAUCGAUGUCAUGAACAUCAAAGUUGAUCGUGUUUAUGACGUCGAAUAUGGAAGUC